rnacentral:rRNA from 1 species
GUUGGUGAGGUAACGGCUCACCAAGGCGACGAUCCGUAGCUGGUCUGAGAGGAUGAUCAGCCACAUCGGGACUGAGACACGGCCCGAACUCCUACGGGAGGCAGCAGUGGGGAAUAUUGGACAAUGGGCGCAAGCCUGAUCCAGCCAUGCCGCGUGUGUGAAGAAGGCCCUCGGGUUGUAAAGCACUUUCAGCGAGGAAGAACGCCUAGUGGUUAAUACCCAUUAGGAAAGACAUCACUCGCAGAAGAAGCACCGGCUAACUCCGUGCCAGCAGCCGCGGUAAUACGGAGGGUGCAAGCGUUAAUCGGAAUUACUGGGCGUAAAGCGCGCGUAGGUGGCUUGAUAAGCCGGUUGUGAAAGCCCCGGGCUCAACCUGGGAACGGCAUCCGGAACUGUCAGGCUAGAGUGCAGGAGAGAAAGGUAGAAUUCCCGGUGUAGCGGUGAAAUGCGUAGAGAUCGGGAGGAAUACCAGUGGCGAAGGCGGCCUUCUGGACUGACACUGACACUGAGGUGCGAAAGCGUGGGUAGCAAACAGGAUUAGAUACCCUGGUAGUCCACGNNNUAAACGAUGUCGACCAGCCGUUGGGUGCCUCGCGCACUUAGUGGCGAAGUUAACGCGAUAAGUCGACCGCCUGGGGAGUACGGCCGCAAGGUUAAAACUCAAAUGAAUUGACGGGGGCCCGCACAAGCGGUGGAGCAUGUGGUUUAAUUCGAUGCAACGCGAAGAACCUUACCUACUCUUGACAUCCUGCGAACUUGUGAGAGAUCACUUGGUGCCUUCGGGAACGCAGAGACAGGUGCUGCAUGGCUGUCGUCAGCUCGUGUUGUGAAAUGUUGGGUUAAGUCCCGUAACGAGCGCAACCCUUGUCCUUAUCUGCCAGCGGGUAAUGCCGGGAACUCUAAGGAGACUGCCGGUGACAAACCGGAGGAAGGUGGGGACGACGUCAAGUCAUCAUGGCCCUUACGAGUAGGGCUACACACGUGCUACAAUGGCCGGUACAAAGGGUUGCGAGCUCGCGAGAGUUAGCCAAUCCCGAAAAGCCGGUCUCAGUCCGGAUCGGAGUCUGCAACUCGACUCCGUGAAGUCGGAAUCGCUAGUAAUCGUGAAUCAGAAUGUCACGGUGAAUACGUUCCCGGGCCU